rnacentral:rRNA from 1 species
AGUAUGACCGCAAGGUUAAAACUCAAAUGAAUUGACGGGGACCCGCACAAGUAGUGGAGCAUGUGGUUUAAUUCGAAGAUACGCGCAGAACCUUACCAACACUUGACAUGUUCGUCGCGACUCUAAGAGAUUAGAGUUUUCGGUUCGGCCGGACGAAACACAGGUGCUGCAUGGCUGUCGUCAGCUCGUGUCGUGAGAUGUUGGGUUAAGUCCCGCAACGAGCGCAACCCUCACUUUUAGUUGCCAUCAUUAAGUUGGGCACUCUGAAAGAACUGCCAGUGAUAAGCUGGAGGAAGGUGGGGAUGACGUCAAGUCCUCAUGGCCCUUACGUGUUGGGCUACACACGUGCUACAAUGGUAUCUACAACAGGAAGCAAAACUGCGAAGUUAAGCAAAUCCCUAAAAGAUACCUCAGUUCGGAUUGCACUCUGCAACUCGAGUGCAUGAAGCUGGAAUUACUAGUAAUCGUGGAUCAGCGUGCCACGGUGAAUGCGUUCCCGGGUCUUGUACACACCGCCCGUCACACCAUGGGAGUUGGUUCUACCUUAAGGCAAGGUUUUAAACCCUUGACCACGGUAUAGUCAGCGACUGGGGUGAAGUCGUAACAAGGUAACC